rnacentral:rRNA from 1 species
GUGAACGCUGGCGGUAGGCCUCACCCCUGCCAGUCGAACGGCAGCACAGUAAGAGCUUGCUCUUACGGGUGGCGAGUGGCGGACGGGUGAGGAAUACAUCGGAAUCUACUUUUUCGUGGGGGAUAACGUAGGGAAACUUACGCUAAUACCGCAUACGACCUACGGGUGAAAGCAGGGGAUCUUCGGACCUUGCGCGAUUGAAUGAGCCGAUGUCGGAUUAGCUAGUUGGCGGGGUAAAGGCCCACCAAGGCGACGAUCCGUAGCUGGUCUGAGAGGAUGAUCAGCCACACUGGAACUGAGACACGGUCCAGACUCCUACGGGAGGCAGCAGUGGGGAAUAUUGGACAAUGGGCGCAAGCCUGAUCCAGCCAUACCGCGGGGGUGAAGAAGGCCUUCGGGUUGUAAAGCCCUUUUGUUGGGAAAGAAAAGCAGCAGGUUAAUACCCCGCUGUUCUGACGGUACCAAAAGAAGAAGCACCGGCUAACUUCGU